rnacentral:rRNA from 1 species
GACGUAGGAGGCGAGCGUUGUCCGGAUUCAUUGGGCGUAAAGAGCACGCAGGCGGUUUGGCGAGUCGGAUGUGAAAACUCGAGGCUCAACCUCGAGAUGUCGGCGGAAACCACUUGGCUAGAGUCCGGAAGAGGAGAGUGGAAUUCCUGGUGUAGCGGUGAAAUGCGCAGAUAUCAGGAAGAACACCUAUGGCGAAGGCAGCUCUCUGGGACGGUACUGACGCUGAGACGCGAAAGCGUGGGGAGCGAACAGG